rnacentral:misc_RNA from 1 species
GAAAUGCGAUAAGUAAUGUGAAUUGCAGAAUUCAGUGAAUCAUCGAAUCUUUGAACGCACAUUGCGCCCGCCAGUAUUCUGGCGGGCAUGCCUGUUCGAGCGUCAUUUCAACCAUCAAGCCCCCGGGCCUGUGUUGGGGACCUGCGGCCGCCGCAGGCCCCGAAAAGCAGUGGCGGGCUCGCUGUCACCCCGAGCGUAGUAGUAAUCACCUCGCUUAGGGCGUGCUGUGGGCGCCGGCCGUUAAAAACCAAUAUACCCCCCAAAGGUUGACCUCGGAUCAGGUAGGAAUACCCGCUGAACUUAAGC